GGUCUGGGAUGGGCUCGCGGCCUAUCAGCUUGUUGGUGAGGUAAUGGCUUACCAAGGCGUCGACGGGUAGCCGGCCUGAGAGGGUGACCGGCCACACUGGGACUGAGACACGGCCCAGACUCCUACGGGAGGCAGCAGUGGGGAAUAUUGCACAAUGGGCGGAAGCCUGAUGCAGCAACGCCGCGUGAGGGAUGACGGCCUUCGGGUUGUAAACCUCUUUUAGCAGGGAAGAAGCUUUUGUGACGGUACCUGCAGAAAAAGCGCCGGCUAACUACGUGCCAGCAGCCGCGGUAAUACGUAGGGCGCAAGCGUUAUCCGGAAUUAUUGGGCGUAAAGAGCUCGUAGGCGGUUUGUCGCGUCUGCUGUGAAAUCCCGAGGCUCAACCUCGGGCCUGCAGUGGGUACGGGCAGACUAGAGUGCGGUAGGGGAGAUUGGAAUUCCUGGUGUAGCGGUGGAAUGCGCAGAUAUCAGGAGGAACACCGAUGGCGAAGGCAGAUCUCUGGGCCGUAACUGACGCUGAGGAGCGAAAGGGUGGGGAGCAAACAGGCUUAGAUACCCUGGUAGUCCACCCCGUAAACGUUGGGAACUAGUUGUGGGGUCCUUUCCACGGAUUCCGUGACGCAGCUAACGCAUUAAGUUCCCCGCCUGGGGAGUACGGCCGCAAGGCUAAAACUCAAAGGAAUUGACGGGGACCCGCACAAGCGGCGGAGCAUGCGGAUUAAUUCGAUGCAACGCGAAGAACCUUACCAAGGCUUGACAUACACCAGAACACCCCAGAAAUGGGGGACUCUUUGGACACUGGUGAACAGGUGGUGCAUGGUUGUCGUCAGCUCGUGUCGUGAGAUGUUGGGUUAAGUCCCGCAACGAGCGCAACCCUCGUUCUAUGUUGCCAGCACGUUAUGGUGGGAACUCAUGGGAUACUGCCGGGGUCAACUCGGAGGAAGGUGGGGAUGACGUCAAAUCAUCAUGCCCCUUAUGUCUUGGGCUUCACGCAUGCUACAAUGGCCGGUACAAAGGGCUGCAAUACCGUGAGGUGGAGCGAAUCCCAAAAAGCCGGUCCCAGUUCGGAUUGAGGUCUGCAACUCGACCUCAUGAAGUCGGAGUCGCUAGUAAUCGCAGAUCAGCAACGCUGCG
rnacentral:rRNA from 1 species